AACGUAGGUUCCGAGCGUUAUCCGGAUUUACUGGGCGUAAAGCGCGUUCAGGCGGUUUGGCAAGUCGGGCAUGAAAUCUCUCGGCUCAACCGGGAGAGGUUGUCCGAUACUGCUGGACUUGAGGGCAGUAGAGGGUGGUGGAAUUCCGGGUGUAGUGGUGAAAUGCGUAGAUAUCCGGAGGAACACCAGUGGCGAAAGCGGCCACCUGGACUGUACCUGACGCUGACACGCGAAAGCUAGGGGAGCGAACGGGG
rnacentral:rRNA from 1 species